rnacentral:rRNA from 1 species
AGUCGAGCGGAAAGGCCCCUUCGGGGGUACUCGAGCGGCGAACGGGUGAGUAACACGUGAGCAACCUGCCCCUGACUCUGGGAUAAGCCUGGGAAACUGGGUCUAAUACCGGAUAUGACGCAUUCUCGCAUGGGAUGUGUGUGGAAAGUUUUUCGGUUGGGGAUGGGCUCGCGGCCUAUCAGCUUGUUGGUGGGGUGAUGGCCUACCAAGGCGACGACGGGUAACCGGCCUGAGAGGGCGACCGGUCACACUGGGACUGAGACACGGCCCAGACUCCUACGGGAGGCAGCAGUGGGGAAUAUUGCGCAAUGGGCGGAAGCCUGACGCAGCGACGCCGCGUGGGGGAUGACGGCCUUCGGGUUGUAAACCUCUUUCAGCAGGGACGAAGCUAACGUGACGGUACCUGCAGAAGAAGCGCCGGCUAACUACGUGCCAGCAGCCGGGGGUAAUUCAA